GGUGGCUCAAUGGUAGAGCACUUGUCUAGCAUGCAUGAGGCCCUGGGUUUAAUUCCUCAGCACCA
rnacentral:tRNA from 1 species